UACGGAGGGUGCAAGCAUUGAUCGGAAUUACUGGGCGUAAAGGGCGCGUAGGCGGUUAGAUAAGUCAGAUGUGAAAUUCCGGGGCUCAACCCCGGAGCUGCAUUUGAAACUGUCAGACUAGAGUUUGGUUGGGGUAAACGGAAUUCCACGUGUAGCGGUGAAAUGCGUAGAUAUGUGGAAGAACACCGGUGGUGAAGACGGUUUACUGGGCUAAGACUGACGCUGAGGCGCGAAAGCAUGGGGAGCAAACAGG
rnacentral:rRNA from 1 species